AGAGUGACAAACAGACAGCGAUGAAGACUGGGAAGAAAAAGUUAUGAGUGAGAAAAGCUUGGGAACAAAGACAUAUCUAAAUCAUAUUUAAGAUCAGCAUUUUUCUUUGAGUGUGAUGUGUGAAGAACUGUUUGUACAGGCAUUCAAGCAAGUCUGCAGAUUCCAUUUGUCCUCGAUGCAGACGGGCAUCUGUGCACUCAUCUCCUCAGCAGCAGAUCCACACUCCAAUCUGGUUGGUGGCAGUUAUGCACUUAAACUAGUUUGCCAACCUCCACUAAAAUCAAAAAAAGAAGAAUAAGGUGCAGAUGCCAGGUUGUUUUGCCCUAUGAAUGAAAAACAGUUUCCCAGUUUGUGCCCUGUUCCUGGAUUCCAGUGCUCUGUCUCUUUGCUCUGAGUUUGUCAAAGAACUCGUCUCAAGAAUCUCCUCACUGCUCCUCUGUCUGUUCUUCUGGUGCUGUCGGGACCCCUCUACAACUGCUUCAUACAUCUAAUCCUGGAAGAAAAAGUGAGGAAAUCAUUACCAUCAAGCACCACUCACCUGCCAAUCUAGGCCUCUGGGGGUAUACUCACAGUAAGCUAACUACCCCGUCCACAAUUUUUAACACAUCUCAACCAUAUUCUACUUCAUAUAACAACUUACCUGUACCUCCCCAGUGCUAUCCUGGAUUUCUCAUGAAAAUCUGGACAAACCACACAUUUCACUGUAUUUUGCAUAGCCUCUUUCUUGAAAAAAGAUGUAUGAUAAAAGAUGUGCAAGUUUUACAUCUAUCUUUUAGCAAAGGUAUCCAUAGCCCUUGACGUUUAUAACAAAUUAUAACAAAGUUCACUUUGACUAGAUUGAAAGUGACAAUGAAUAUCAGUUUUCUACAGAAAACACCAACAAUACCACAAAUUAAUAGAUCUAAACAAACUGUUUCUAUCAGCUUUCCAUAAAUAGAGACUUAAUUUUUUACCCAAUCUUCUUAGUAAAAUUUACAAUACUUGCUACAUAUUUUCAAUUGGAUAUACAUCUGGACUUUGAGCCAUACUGACAUAUAAAUAUGCUUUGAUCUAAACCAUUCCAGUGUGCCUCUGGAUGUACAGUUUAUGGCUGUUGACCUGCCGAAAGGUCAACCUCCGUCCCAAGCUGAAGUCUUUUUUCAGGUCCUAAGGCUGUGUUCAUGUUCCCCUCAGCUUUAAUCAGUCUCCCUGUCCCUGUUGAGGGACAUCAUCUCCACUGCAUGGAUCUGCUACCACUAUGCUUCACCACUGGAACUGUGUGUUUAGGAGGUUUUGGAGUGUUAGCAUUUGGCCACACAUCUCGCUAUACCAAUGGGUCUAAAAUUUUAAUUUUGGUCUCAUUUCACUCAAACACUGCUUAAAUGCUGCUUAAAUGGCUCGUGGCAAUCUGGAAAAAGGACUUUUACAGCUGUCUUUCAACAAUAAGUUGUACUGGAAUUCUAAUUUCUCCUCGGGGAUCAAUAAAGUGUCUUUGAAUUGAA